UUAAUUUGAGAGUUUGAUCCUGGCUCAGGACGAACGCUGGCGGCGUGCCUAAUACAUGCAAGUCGAACGAACUCUGGUAUUGAUUGGUGCUUGCAUCAUGAUUUACAUUUGAGUGAGUGGCGAACUGGUGAGUAACACGUGGGAAACCUGCCCAGAAGCGGGGGAUAACACCUGGAAACAGAUGCUAAUACCGCAUAACAACUUGGACCGCAUGGUC
rnacentral:rRNA from 2 species